rnacentral:piRNA from 1 species
UACACCACUGAUUGCUUAUGCUGGGCACA